rnacentral:lncRNA from 1 species
AUGCAGGAUCCACAACUAUCUACACAUGGAUCUCCAUCUCAUGUUUCAGAAUCGGGCAAAAAUCCCUGGCCUGUUUCUCAGUCUUUUAACGCCAAUGAUAGUGAAGAUAUGACUUCACCUUCUGCCAUCUAUCCCACCUCAUUAAAUGGCUUAAAAUACCUUAGGAGGAGAAUCAUUUCCCUCUUCACUACAAGACAGAAAGAAGAGAUUGCUGUCCCUGUUUCAUUUGCCAUGAUUCUGGAGUCUGAGUUUCUCUUUCUGUGCUUGAGAUAUUUUUCCUUUGCGAUCUGUGCUUUUAAAAUUUGAGACAAGAGAAACUUCCCUAACCUACUGUCAUGGAGAUCAUCUCAUAAUGUUUGUCCUAAAGGUAUUAAAGUUUUGCUUUUGUUUGUUUGUUUGUUUAUUUAAUUUUGAGAGAGAGAGAGACAGAGAGUGAGCAGGGGAGGGGCAGAGAGAGAAGGAGACACAGAAUCCGAAGCAGGCUCCAGGCUCUCAGCUGUCCGCUCAGAGCCCAACGCGGGGCUCGAACUCACAAACCGCGAGAUCAUGACCUGAGUCAAAGUUGGACACUUAACAGACUGGGCCACCCAGGCGCCCCUAAACUUUUGCUUUGAAACCUAAAAGAUUUACCUAUUAGAAAAAUUUUUGUUAAUAAGGGAAUCCAAGAGAUCUAUAUCUAUAUCUAUAUCUAUAUCAAUAACAAACUGGCAACCUCAUAUCUAGCAAACGUGUAUCCGAAAAUCUGUUACAAGUUCUAAGGGCUUUUUUCCCAAGUCUGUUGGAUUUUCUUUGUAGGGAGUCACACUCUCUUGAGAUAAGAACAGUUUAUUCUUUCCCCCCCAAAAUUUUAAACUUUUUAUCCCUUCUUAUUUCAUUUCUAUCAGCCAAGGUUUUCAGAAUAAGUUUAAAGUGAUCCUGUCCUAAUGAUUACACUUAAUUUUUUUUUGUAGGUUUUCCAUAUGUAUCAGGCAAGGAGUUUCAUGUUACUAAUUUGUUUGGAGUCAUUUUUGAAGUCACAAAAGAGUGAUAGCUAUUAUCACUGAUAUCAAUUAGCAAAUGAUUUAUAUGCAUCUCUUUACAAGAUUAUAUAUUUUUAUUCCCUGCAAUCUUAUUAUGUGUUCAAUUAUGUUAAUUGUGUAAUUAAAAUGUUUACAAAUUUUUUGAUGACUGUGGCCAAGUGAGAAAAUUGGCAAAUCAUGUUCCCCGAGAAUAGGCAUAAAUUAUCAUUUCAGAACCCUGGAAACUGACCAAAAGUAUACACCGUUCUAAAAAGCGUUUACCCAUGAAAAAUGGCUGAUGUUCGGGAAAAGACAGUCAGAAUCUGAGGUGUCUUAUCCUGAGGCUUGUCUCAUUCCCCCAGUUUAGUCUACAUAGAAUGCAUGCCAGAAUGAGACAGGCCAUAAGACAUAAUAGUUUCACUACUAUUGCUGAAGGAAGGCCACUUAUUUUUGCGUAUUAGUGAUGAAAGACCAGAAACACAGUUGGUUGAAGUGAUGAUUUCAGAUGUAGGUGAGCAGGGAGGGCCAACAUCAUAUUGAUCCUGAGUUGUGGUUAGGGAAAGGAGUUCCUGGCAGGUUUUGCAUGCAGGUGCCCAGGAUACCAGCACAAACCAGCCAAGUAAAACCUAGGGAAGACUUGAAAAUGGUUUGAAUUUUUAAUGAUCUCUUCUACCAACAUAUAGGUCUGUCAACAGAAGAAGGACAUCUUACUGGUUUGAAUUGGUUGAGCAUAAUCUCUGGCCAGUUGUUAGAUGGCAAGUAAGUCACGCAGAUACUAACAACAGUGGCUCCUAAGAAUCAAGGCCAAAAAUUAAAAAUAAGACUGUAUGUUGUAGAGAUUUUAAUUUAUUGUUCUAAAGUAAUCUCUCCAUCCAAUGUGGGGCUUGAACUUACAACCCAGAGAUCAAAAGUUGCAUGCUAUACUGACUGAGCUAUCCAGGCACUCCUAAAGCAGCUUUUUUGUUUUUUUAAGAAGCAACUUGAAAAGAUAUAAUAUUAGUGGCUGCACAUCACAGUAGAGACAUAUUUCACAGAUUUAGCACAGGCAUGGAAACCAAAGAAACACACAAAUCAAAGGAAACAGGUAAAUCAAGAAGCGAAAACAAAAGAAAAAAACAAAACUCAGGAAGAACAUCAAAGAGCCUUUGGGAAAAAAAGAUAAGCUACUAGAAUUGCAACAUUGUCAAAAAUGUCCAGUUUUCAACAAUAAGUUAAAAAAAAUUAAAAGAAACAGGAGAGUGCGACCAAUAUUAAGGGAAAAAAUCAACACAAGCUAUAUUUUCAUAUCCUCAGGUGUUGGAUUUCACAGACAAAAAGAUUUCAAACACUCAUUUUAGACAUGUCCAAAGAAUUAAAGAAAUCACGUAUAAAGAAUUAAAGGAACACAAAGUCACAGUAAAUGAAUAGAGAUUCCCAAGGAGGAGAUUACCAGGAUACAAAAACAGGAAAUGGAAAUUAUGGAUUUGCAAAUUACAAUAAUCCAAAUGAAAAAUUUGCUAGAGGGGCUCAAUGGUAGAUUUGGUUUGGAAGAAGAGAGGAGAAGUGAAAUUAUCCAAUCUGCAGAUCUCAAAGAAAGAUAUUGAAGAAAAAUGACCAGAACUUCAUAGAUCUGUAGGGUAAUAUUAAGCUUGCCAACAUGGAUGUAAUGGGAGAUCCAAAAAGAGAGGAGAAAAGUGAAAAAAUACUUGAAGAAUAAUGGGUUAAGACUUUCCGAAGUUGAUAAAAACAUUAGUCUACGGUUCCAUGGAACUCAAUAAAUCCGGAGUUGAAUGAGCA